AUCCCUGUAGCGCAAUGGAUAGCGCGUUGGACUUGUAACCCAAAGAUCAUGAGUUCGAAUCUCUCCUGGGAUG